rnacentral:rRNA from 1 species
GGCUCAGGACGAACGCUGGCGGCGUGCCUAAUACAUGCAAGUCGAACGGUCUUUCUAUGGAAGCUUGCUUCCGCUGAGAAGAUAGUGGCGAACGGGUGAGUAACACGUGGGUAACCUGCCCAUAAGAGGGGGGAUAACAUCCGGAAACGGGUGCUAAUACCGCAUAGUUUUCUUGAUCGCAUGAUCGGGAAAGGAAAGACGGCCUUUGUGCUGUCGCUUAUGGAUGGACCCGCGGCGUAUUAGUUAGUUGGUGAGGUAACGGCUCACCAAGACGAUGAUACGUAGCCGACCUGAGAGGGUGAUCGGCCACAUUGGGACUGAGACACGGCCCAAACUCCUACGGGAGGCAGCAGUAGGGAAUCUUCCGCAAUGGACGAAAGUCUGACGGAGCAACGCCGCGUGAGUGAAGAAAGGUUUUCGGAUCGUAAAACUCUGUUGUCAGAGAAGAACAAGUUGGAGAGUAACUGCUCCAGCCUUGACGGUAUCUGACCAGAAAGCCACGGCUAACUACGUGCCAGCCGCCGC